AGCCCCGUAGUGUAGCGGUCCAUCAUGGAGGGCCCUGGAUCCUCCGACCCCAGUUCGAAUCUGGGCGGGGCUA
rnacentral:tRNA from 1 species